rnacentral:rRNA from 1 species
UUCCUGCGGGACGCAGCAGUGGGGAAUAUUGCACAAUGGGGGAAACCCUGAUGCAGCAACGCCGCGUGAGUGAAGAAGUAUUUCGGUAUGUAAAGCUCUAUCAGCAGGGAAGAAAAUGACGGUACCUGAGUAAGAAGCCCCGGCUAACUACGUGCCAGCAGCCGCGGUAAUACGUAGGGGGCAAGCGUUAUCCGGAUUUACUGGGUGUAAAGGGAGCGUAGACGGCGAUACAAGUCUGAAGUGAAAGCCCGG